rfam:Nomascus leucogenys chromosome 1a, whole genome shotgun sequence.
CUCUAAGGCCAUACCACCCUGAAGGUGCCCCAUCAUCUCCUCUGAUCUCAGAAGCUAAGCAGGGUCAGGUCUGGUUAGUACUUGGAUGGGAGAAUGUGCGUGAGACAUUGGCCUCUUCAUCAG